rnacentral:rRNA from 1 species
GAUGAACGCUGGCGGCGUGCCUAAUACAUGCAAGUCGAGCGAACAGACGAGGAGCUUGCUCCUCUGACGUUAGCGGCGGACGGGUGAGUAACACGUGGAUAACCUACCUAUAAGACUGGGAUAACUUCGGGAAACCGGAGCUAAUACCGGAUAAUAUAUUGAACCGCAUGGUUCAAUAGUGAAAGACGGUUUUGCUGUCACUUAUAGAUGGAUCCGCGCCGCAUUAGCUAGUUGGUAAGGUAACGGCUUACCAAGGCAACGAUGCGUAGCCGACCUGAGAGGGUGAUCGGCCACACGGGAACUGAGACACGGUCCAGACCCCUACGGGGGGAAGCAGUAGGGAAUCUUCCGAAAGGGGCGAAAGCCUGACGGAGCAACGCCGGGGGAGUGAUGAAGGUCUUCGGAUCGUAAAACUCUUUUAUUGGGGAAAAAAAAAUGUUUAAGAAACUAGGCCCGUUUUGACGGUCCCUAAUAAGAAACCCACGGCUAACUCC